CUACACGGGAAAAAAUCUGAUCCCAUUAUCAUGAUUUACGAAUCAUGAAAAUUAUAAAUUGCUCUUGGGACGAAAUCAUGAUUCAGACUCAUGUAUUUUGAAGCUGAGCUACCACUAUCAUGAUUCAGAGCAACCAUUUUCAUGAGCUCCAAAUCAUGACCAUGAAAAGCGUUACGCACACGGUGCACCUGUCAAAACGUGUUUAGCAAAGCUUGUGCAAAGCAUAGUUGGCUGCGCAUUCACGGAAAAGUUGCCCUUUUUUUUAAAAAAAAGUUCACUCUUAUUGCCGGUUUCCUGCGCCGCUGUUGCUCUACUGUCGUUCCUGCUCUACUAUUCCGUUCCUGCUCCGUUGAUAUCGAGCUAUUCCGGCUCUGCAGAACUACCGCCGUUUCAUUCUGUUCCUUUCCUGCCGUGGCUGUUGCCCGUUCCGGCUCUUGUGUACCCGUUCCGGCUCCGCAUUGAGGGAAAAUUCUUCCGGCUCCGCUCUACUAACUACCGCCGUUUUAUUGUCCCAGUGCCACUGUCGCCAUUCCCGCCGCGGCUGUUGCCGUCCAAUAGGUGCAUCCGUUCCGGCUCCGCAUUGAGUGACCAGCUCCGCCCUACCAACUACCGCUCCCGAUUUUGUUGCCGUUCCGGACGUUUCGUUUUCAGCCUUGGCUGGUUCCGCCCAGUAGGUGUUCCCGUUCCGACUUCCCCCACAACUACCGAACGCAGGUGAUAUAGAAGGGAGGAUCGAGCGGCGACUGAACCAUCUCCGCGAAAAAUUUGGGGAAUCAUCGCUACAACCUCAAAUUGUCGCAGUGGGCACGAGCAACUCAACAAAAGCAACGAUGGUUAUUUUU